rnacentral:sRNA from 1 species
ACGUGCCAGGCACCCGUUGUGCCAGGCUGGGUACUGACAGCACUUCUGUGAGCUCCUUGUGGAAGGGCAGUCUCAGGGGCUUCUUCUUACAACUUACUUGUCUUUCCACUCUUCUGUUCUCACCAAUGAAAGAAAAGCCCACACUCCUGGGAGCACCUAACCUCUUUCCCCCAAAACUGGGGUCCUGAGUCCAAUCAGGACAACAUCUGCAGCAAACUUAGAGAACAGCGAGUCGGAGAGCCCCUCCAGAGAGCAAUGAAGCAAAACAGAUGCUGUCUUGUACUGAGACCUCCUGUGCUCCUGCGCUCCUCCACGGCCCCGGAGCCUGGGAAGCUUCAAGUCUGCGAAUCCAGAUCCUGCAUCGUCCCUCAUCAUAGGGUGUUAUGAGUUGAGGUGCGUCCCCCAAAGGUAGGUUGAUGGGCUACCCAGGAAUCUUAUGUAGCUGUAUUUGCAGACGUAAUUGAUUAAAAUAAGGUCCUUACACACCAGAGUGUCCCUGCUCAGCUGGUGCCCGAGGAGAAGAGAAGGCUUUGUGGAGAGGGGUAGGGAGGAGUAAUCUAAAGGUACAAACAGAAGGAAGAAGCACACUGGAGACUGCAGGGUGCACUCUGUGGAGGGGUUGAGGCCCUGCCACACCUCCGCUGAGGCUCUUGGUCCAGCAAUAAUCCCAGCACUCGAGAUAGAGGCAAGGAUCAAGAAUCGGCUCUUUAUUCUCUAUUCUGUUAGAAAAAGGAAGGCCAGCCUCAGAAAUAAAGAACUGCAGGGGAGGAGCCCGUCUCAGUGAAGGAAUAAAUGAAUCAUGUCCUAGCCUCCAGAAUGGAGAGAGCAUACAUUUCCAUGGUUUUAGGUUUCCUGGUAGUUUGCCGUGCUGGAAGCAGAUACAGCAUGGUGUACUUUCGUGCUGACAAAGGUAGUUCUUCAGGUCAUAGCCUUGUCCAAGGCUCAUAGGUACGGGCUCAAUGGAGGUGAACUGGGACUUCCUAAGGCUGCCAGGUAGGUACCUGUGUCGUGCAAACCUGCAGCAUGGACUUUAGAUGAAAUAGGAUGAAAUGUCUUAGUGUCUAUAAAUCACCCAGCAAUGCCCCCAAGGCCUGGGUUUCCAAAGACAAGCGCUCUUGGAUCCCGGGCCCCAUGGCGUUCUGAAGACACACAGAAGGAACUAAGUGACAGAUUGUGUCUUUAGCUAUUGCACUGGUCUGGCCAACCAUAGCCAAGGAAACAACAAGAUAACCAGACAGAACUGGUUUGAGUCACAAGCAUCUUGAGGUGGCUUUAAAUGUGGGAAAGGUAGGGCCCUAGCCCUCAAGGCCUCUAUGCCUACCUCUCCUCUGUGAGAAAGCCACAGUAAAUUUGUGUUUACUGGUUACAUGUACACACACACACACACACACACACACACACACACACACACACACACACACGAAAUGGCUUUUCCACCCGUUAUAAAAAUUCAACAAGACAGGUUGAAAACCAGGUGCCCUGCUUAGGAUCCUCCAGGGAACUAAGGUAGUCCUUCCUCCUUCACACUGUGCAGUGUGGUGAGGUGGAGCAUCCUACUCCUCUAAGCGGGUGCCCUCCCUCCCAACAGCACAGCCUACUGGGCCUGUGAGUAAGGUUCACAUCAGUUACUUUGCAGGUCGGGGUGGGACUCACAGAGCCGCAGAAAUGCUGGCCCAGCUUGCCUCACACAGAGUAGACACUUCACCAUGGAUGGGAGAGCAGAUCUGGUAGGGCCCCCUGUGCCAGCACAGGGUAGUGUGUCCUCCUUCCUCCUGCCAUCCUGUCCCUGGUACUCCAUGGUCAUAGCCUUCCAGGAAGCUUAUCCCUUGCCACUGAGAGCCCUUGUUUUGAAGAGAAGCUUGGGUCCUGAGUGGUCUGGAACCACCAAGGACAUCCAAAUUUGAUGGAACGAAAUUUAAGCAAAAAUGAAUGUAUUCCAAAACAGACUCCAGCAUCUUGGGAACAUCCUUUGACUUUCAAUUUGAGGACAAGGUGGGUUAGGACUUAUGGUAAUUUUUGGUUUUGAUGUGUGUCUGAGCCCCAUGGUGUCGGGAGCCUGCUGUAACCAGUGGCUUUUGUGGCAAGGUGGACUGGAGGGCAUUCUAGCGUGUAUGGCCAUCUGUCCUUCCCUGGACUCUUGGUCUCUAUUUGAGCUUCUUGGGUAGCUAGACACCCUGGUAACAGGGAGAGGACUCCUGAGGGAGUUUGCCCACAGAACAGUAGGGAGAGGACUAGAAACUCAGGUCUGUAGAUCAUCUCUGUGAAGACCGGCUAACUCCCUAGUUCCCACUCCACUAACUAUGCAUUCACAUUUUAAAACCUGAGUAUAAGGACUGGAGAGAUGGCUCAGUAGUUAACAUUUCCUGCAUAACCAGGAGGAGUCCCCGUGAGGAUACAAUAUUGAUGGCCAGGGAGAGAACUCUAACCAGUCCAAUGACUCAUUGCAAAGAAAAUUUGCAAGUAAAGAUGUGUGGACAGAAGGAUAUCCUGUGGGACACAUUGUGACAUAGCACAGGUUCCACCACGAGAUGUUUUUCUGGGCUUUGCUUUUGUUUAUUUGUGUGUACGUAUGUGAGUGUGUGUUUGUGUAUUUUAUUUGGGGGGAGACGUUGCAAGAGCAAAGGGUGGAUAUGAGGGGAUGGGGAGACGAACAGGACUGUAGUGCAUGAUGUGAAAUCACAAAGAAUCAAUAAAAAAUAAAAAAAAAACCCAACUUCCUGCUUUUGCAGAGAGCACAGUUUCAGGCCCUAGCACUCCUAUGGAGGCUCACAACAGUUUCACGAGAUAUGAUGCCUUCUUCUGGCCUCCAUAGGUGUUAUAAGCAUGUGGAAUAUAUACAGUGCCUCAGGCUCCCCGCUGUGGAUCUGCUUUUAGAACUGUGUGUAACUGGUACAGCUGAACUCUCAGGGUACUGUCCUGAUGCAUCUGUGGUCAGUAUUUUUAGCAGACAGCUGAGAUGAGGACCUACAAUCUUCCCCUUCUCUACCUCUGUUCAGACUAUGUCUGAGAUGAACCAGGCUGGCCAGCACAAGGACCAGCAUGCGUACAGAACCUGUUUUCCACAGCCAUAGCUCAGUCAGGGUAUAUAGGAAAGGCCUUGGCCCAAAGUCUGUCACAACAGUACUGUGUCCACCACGCCCUUCCUCGCCAAGCUACUGAGGCAGUCUUCAGCCUGCCACAAUGGCUGCCUCAGGACCAGGAGCCCCCUCCCACCUGGCCGAGUUACACUCCCUCUUCAGUUGAGGACAUUUAUGUACCCACCCCUUGCCCACUUCCUCAAUCCAACCAGCUAUAGUUGUGGCUGUGGUUGGUGGCUCCUUAGGGAAACGGCCGCCCAGUGCUCUCCCACAUGUUGAACUGUGUCUGCUGCCAGCGUCCUAGGGCCAACAGGUGUUUCCGCACACCCAGGCGCUUGGGAGGACUCAGGGCCUCACCAUGGGGUCAGAGGUGCUGGGGGCCCCACAGCCAAACUGCAGGUUUUGUUUGCUCUUGGAAGAAGAAAGCUUCCUUUGGGGGUGUGGGGAGAGCCUGCCCUGGGGUGACUCUCUACCACCUGUUCCUGCUUGCCUGAGACCCUGAAGUCUUAGAGAGCACAGCUCAGAGCUUAAAACAGAGAGAAGGUUCCAGGGAACUGUGAUGGUAAAAGCAGGGAGGUAUGCAGAGAUUGGGUACGGAGAGAUCCAGCGGAUUGCUUGGGUGAAGGCUGGGGACUCUAUCCAGAUGUGGGCAGUGGUCAGCUGUGAAAGAGUGGGGUUCCACCAUGUGGGGUGUAAAGUUCAGAAUCUGUGGUGUCAUCUUAUCCAGAGGACAGCGAGUCCCAGGAUGCCCUGCUUCUGCAGCUGCAGUCACGCUUGCCUAGGGUACACAGCCAGCUCUGGGGGAGUCCCUUGGGUCCCUAACCUCCAGCCUCGCUUCUUCAUUCAUCCUAGGAAGGUGGUCACCAUUUUCAAGACCAUCUUGCUUCCUCCGUACUGUAGGAAAGAAGACUUUUCACAGGAUGCCAUGCUCAGCCAGGAAGGAAACCUGAGUGGAAAAGAGGGUGUUGGAGACUGUCCCCCACCUCACUACCAGGAGAAGUCUGGGUCCUAGGCCUGCUUGUUCCUCCAGGAGGCAGGUUUUGUGGGCGUUCCCUAAGUGUUCAUGUGAAAAGGGUCCAUACUUUCUUUUUCCCGUACUUUCCCGUGCAUGGGCCAAGAAUAUAAACUACAGUGUAUGUGUGCCUCCCAGGCAUGGCGGAGCACACAGUUAGUCCCGUCGUUUGGAGGCAGAGGCUGACAGACCUCUGAGUUCCAAGACAGCCUGGUCUACAGGGUGAGUUCCAGGAUAGCCAGGGCUACACAGAGAAACCGUAUCCCUCCCAAACAAAAUGAGACAACGUAGUUAAAAGUGUAAGCUGGAGCUGGGACUCCAUGGGUAGAGGGUAGGGUGAUGGCCUAGGAAACACAAUGGCCUCUCAGACGCUGCAUAAACUGUAAACUGACCAUGGUAACACAUGCCUGUACUCCCAGUCUCAGAGGGUAGAGGCAAGAAGAGCCGAAACUCAAGGUCACCCUUAGCUACAUAGUGAGUUCACAAUCAGCUUGAGACACGAGACUCUGUAUAAUAAAUUAAAAUAAAAUUAAAAAGUUUAGAUCAUUCCGGCCACGUUAUCUGGUCACACCUGCUUGGGAAACAUUGACUGAAUCUGAGCUGGACUUGGGGUAAUUCACAGAGUAAGGCAGGCACUUCACCGUUCGCUUCCUAGUUUACUGAACCUUUUUCCUGAUAGCCUCUGAGCCCUGGGUAGCCUCUCUCCCCAGUCCUACCUGCUUACCUGCAGUUUGCUAUUGGGAGGUCCUGUGAUAGGGAGUAGACAGACCUCCCUACUUCUAGGUAUUCCUCCUAUACCCCACUUCCUUAAGAUCACCAAACAAGAUGAUAGUCUGAGAUGUGUCGGUAUGGGGAACUCACGGUCCCCUAACUAGGCCCUGCUCAAGGCCCUGGUUCUGAGCACCAGUCCAAGAGUCAUACUGCUCAGGGGCCUGCCUAGGUGGCCUGGGAGGUAGAUUUGGGUGGGGAGCACUGAGGAUAGGCUGUUCCUUAGCUUCCUCGAGCUUAGGAGAAGCUUCCUAUAGGAGGAGCAGCCAAGCUGGACUGGGUUGCUGAAGAGGCCUGGGCCAGUAAGCCAGGGUCUGGAGUAGAGUCAGAGCCAGCUGCGUGGUGUCAGAGGUAGAUGUCGGAGGCUGCCUCUGCCAACCCUCUUGCCCAACAGUGCUGUGACCUUUUGUGAAUGGGAUGACAAUAAAUUCUAACAACCAACCCCAACCAUCCAGAUCCAAGCAGGCCUCUGGGACACAGUAAACAGGAAAGCCCACAGAGACUGGAGGUCCUGAGAGAAAGGAAGGAACAGGCCAGAGGCAUCACAGAACACGUGAAAUCAGCAAGAAACUGACUUCCCUAUACUGUGUCUACUACCUGGCUGAACCAGCUCUCAGGCCAGCACAACAGCUCUACCCAAGUGGAUGUCUCAGGAGCCCAGGGCCUGGGCUGCAGAACAGGACAGGCUCAAGAUCACAGACAGAGGCAGAGUCCCUAGCCAGCUCCCCUAGGCUCUGGGGCCUGGCCUCUCAGUACAGCUCCCCUCAACAUACCCAAGCAUGAUUUCCUCAGCAUGUGUUGGAACUCUAGCCAAUGCUGCCCCAGCCCCCAACUAGAGAUAUAUGGGGAAACUGAGGCCCAGUAGGAAAGGAAGGUCAAAGUCAUCCUGAGGUUGUCUCUGAUUUGAUGCCUGCUAUGGAUGAAAUAGCUCCAGGAGGGGCGGGACUGGGGUUCACUGAUGGAGCACUUGCCUAUUAGCGGACAAGGCCCUAAGUUCCAUCUCCAGCAGCAUCACUAAACAAACAAAAAAGCCCUGGGACAUUUUAAAGCAGACCCGGAAGAUCCGAAUCGUCCAUCAAAAAAUGUGAGCUUGUCGUGUGGGCUGAUAGCGUGAGAACUCCUUAGAAUUGGGCAAGUUGAGCAGUGUGGGGCCCGAGGAGACUCUGUUGGUCCUGAGCAAUCGAGGUCCCUGCUGCAGCAAGGGCCUGGCAGUUUUCUCUUUUCUCUCAGCUGGUUCCCAGAUCCACUCCAGCGACCAUGGGUAAUGAGAGCAUUAGAGUCCUGAUGGCUCUACCUCUGGGAGUUCCUCCUGAGGAAGCAUCGUGGGAGCCAGAAAGCUGGACACCGCGGGGACCCCUGGAAGUGUUAUUUAUAACCCCAGACCUGGAAGGGGACCAAAUGUGUGGAGUGGGGCGGCGCCAUCUGACUAAGCAGUGGGCUGCUGACAGUAACCAGUGCCGCCUGCAAAACCACGGAAAGUCCAACAGACAGCGUGGGAAAUGCUCACAGGGACGGACUUGGAAGAGAAGAGGCCAGGACUGAGGCAGACAGAAAGCUGAGCUCCGCAUUGCUCCAGCCAGGGAGAGCAAUGGAGUCUGCAUUCCAGCUUGUGCCUGAACACACAGGAGGGAGAUCACCACCCACCAGCCAUGAGGGUGGGAAGCUGCAGCCUUCUGCUCUAUUCGGAUUCCAGAUCUGUCUCCGGGUCACUGAGUGGGCUGGGGUGAGUAGGUGGCAGGGCAGAGGGCAGGGUCAUAACACCUGGACCAACCAAUCUCCAGAGCUUGGGCAGAGACAUCUCUAGGUCUUGCCCCAGCUCCUGGAGGAUGCAUAGCCAGAUGUGCUUUGGGGGGGGGGGUCAGAAAGCAAGGGGUGGCAUUCUGAACUGCUCUCACCAUGUCUCUCAGCCCUCCAGUCCUCAUUGUCUGUCUCUCCUGCUCCCUGUAUAUUAGCUGAGAACCUCUAUCAUCUAGGCACAAGCCUACCAGUCAAUUCCUGAGAAUAGAGAUGGGGUAUAGAUCCCAAAGGUGGGGUUGGAGCUGCCAGGAGUAUGACGGUAUCCCCAUAACCAUGGAAACUACACUAGGAAUGGGGAGGGUGGGGACAAGACCCUCGACACCUGGAGACCAGAUGGCUGACGGGACUACUGACCCAGCCCGGGGACUGACUAUACUCACGAACCACGGCCUUGGCCAGAUGCAGCAGGGCCUGGCAGCCCUGGAAGCCUGUCAUGAGCAACUCCAAGAGAGCGCAGCUAUCUCUACUAGCUUCCUCUUAGCCAAGUUGGACAGAGGACGGAUACUGCACCCCAAACAGCGGGGUCAGUCGCAGAGCUAGGCUCAGUGCCUGCUCUGGCCCCACACUGUGGACCUGAGCUGGGUUGGCACUCUCCUGGUCAGGGUGUUUUCGUGAAUAAGGGUGAUUAACCCUAGCUCACUUCACUGGUGGUCCCCAGGCCCUAGACUGUGGAAAUCAGCCACUUACUUUUCCUGAUGCAUUAUCAUCAGGAACAGUAACCUGUGAGGCUUGCUUUAAGGAUGGGAAACCUGGGGGUGGGGAGAUGGUUCAGUGGUUAAGAGCAUUGACUGCUUUUCCAGAGGUCCCGAGUUCA